rnacentral:lncRNA from 1 species
AUGCAGAUUUUUGUGAAAACCCUCACAGGGAAGACCAUCACCCUCAAGGUUGAACCCUCAGAUACGAUAGAAAAUAUAAAGGCCAAGACCCAGGAUAAGGAAAGAAUUCCUCCUGAUCAGUAAAGACUGAUCUUUGCUAGCAAGCAACUGGAGGAUGGAUGUGCUUUGUCUGACUACAACAUUCAAAAGGAGUCUACUCUUCAUCUUGUGUUGAGACUUCGUGGUGGUGCUAAGAAAAGGAAGAAGUCUUACACCACUCCCAAGAAGAAUAAGCACAAGAGGAAGAAGAUUAAGCUGGCUGUCCUGAAAUACUAUAAGGUAGACGAGAAUGGCAAAAUUAGUCACCUUCAUCGAGAGUGCCCUUCUGAUGAAUGUGGUGCUGGAGUGUUUAUGGCAAGCCACUAUGACAGACAUUAUUGUGGCAAAUGUUGUCUGACUUACUGCUUCAACAAACCAGAAGACAAG